rnacentral:rRNA from 1 species
GAUGAACGCUAGCGGCAGGCUUAACACAUGCAAGUCGAGGGGUAGAAGGAGCUUGCUCCUUUGAGACCGGCGCACGGGUGCGUAACGCGUAUGCAAUCUACCUUUUGCAGAGGAUAGCCCAGAGAAAUUUGGAUUAAUACCUCAUAGUAUGUGAGGAUGGCAUCAUUUUCACAUUAAAGUCACAACGGCAAAAGAUGAGCAUGCGUCCCAUUAGCUAGUUGGUAAGGUAACGGCUUACCAAGGCUACGAUGGGUAGGGGUCCUGAGAGGGAGAUCCCCCANACUGGUACUGAGACACGGACCAGACUCCUACGGGAGGCAGCAGUGAGGAAUAUUGGACAAUGGGCGAAAGCCUGAUCCAGCAAUGCCGCGUGAGUGAUGAAGGCCUUAGGGUGUAAAGCUCUUUUACCCGAGAUGAUAAUGACAGUA